GUACAAUCGCUAUGGUGGGAUUAUUUGGCGGAUCAUUAGAAGUCUCCUUGCCAUUGUUUGCAUUUCUUCAUCAACAAAUCCAGGGAGUAUUUGUCGGUUCUCUGGAGCAAUUAAAAGAACUUGUACAUCUAGCUUCAAAUACCAAGCUGAAGCCACCUGAGAUAACUCAUGUCAAGCUCGAAAAGGUGCCAGAGAUACUCACAAAGCUGCGCAGAGGAAAGAUCACCGGGAGAACCAUAGUGAAGUUUUAAUAUGGAGCGGAGUUCAAUUUAAGGGACUAAUGAAUUCAUUUUUUCACGUCCCUUCAAAUGAUUAAUUUUAUUUCGAAUAGUAGUUAUAAAAGUUUUCGUAGGGCCCAGCAAAAUCAAUAUUAACGAACUUGUUUUGAAAUUGAUGAUACAAACCAGUGAUUUUUUGUGUUGUUCAAUUGUUAAGAUGUCAACAUAUUAAUGUGUUUAAUGCACGGUAAGAAUGUGGCUUGAUUUGUAAUCUAAAAUUCAUCGCCAUUAUAUAAAUAAAUGGUCAGAUAUGGUGUU